rnacentral:rRNA from 1 species
GACGAACGCUGGCGGCGUGCCUAAUACAUGCAAGUUGAGCGCUGAAGGUUGGUACUUGUACCAACUGGAUGAGCAGCGAACGGGUGAGUAACGCGUGGGGAAUCUGCCUUUGAGCGGGGGACAACAUUUGGAAACGAAUGCUAAUACCGCAUAAAAACUUUAAACACAAGUUUUAAGUUUGAAAGAUGCAAUUGCAUCACUCAAAGAUGAUCCCGCGUUGUAUUAGCUAGUUGGUGAGGUAAAGGCUCACCAAGGCGAUGAUACAUAGCCGACCUGAGAGGGUGAUCGGCCACAUUGGGACUGAGACACGGCCCAAACUCCUACGGGAGGCAGCAGUAGGGAAUCUUCGGCAAUGGACGAAAGUCUGACCGAGCAACGCCGCGUGAGUGAAGAAGGUUGUCGGAUCGGAAAACUCUGUUGGUAGAGAAGAACGUUGGUGAGAGUGGAAAGCUCAUCAAGUGACGGUAACUACCCAGAAAGGGACGGCUAACUACGUG